rnacentral:rRNA from 1 species
UACGAAAGGGGCUAGCGUUGUUCGGAAUUACUGGGCGUAAAGCGCACGUAGGCGGCCUUGUAAGAUGGGGGUGAAAUCCCCGGGCUCAACCCGGGAACUGCCUUCAUGACUGCAAAGCUAGAGGAUGCGAGAGGUUAGCGGAAUUCCGAGUGUAGAGGUGAAAUUCGUAGAGAUUCGGAAGAACACCAGUGGCGAAGGCGGCUAACUGGCGCAUUGCUGACGAUUAGGUGCGAAAGAGUGGGGAGCAAACAGG